GCGAGGUAGCUCAGCUGGCUAGAGCGUUCGGUUCAUACCCGAAAGGUCGUGGGUUCGAUCCCCUCUCUCGC
rnacentral:tRNA from 1 species